rnacentral:rRNA from 1 species
UACGAAGGGGGCUAGCGUUGCUCGGAAUCACUGGGCGUAAAGCGCACGUAGGCGGUCUUUUAAGUCGGGGGUGAAAUCCUGGAGCUCAACUCCAGAACUGCCUUCGAUACUGGAAGACUUGAGUCCGGGAGAGGUGAGUGGAACUGCGAGUGUAGAGGUGAAAUUCGUAGAUAUUCGCAAGAACACCAGUGGCGAAGGCGGCUCACUGGCCCGGUACUGACGCUGAGGUGCGAAAGCGUGGGGAGCAGAGGAGUAACUGAUCCGAAGACCG